UACAGAGGGUGCAAGCGUUGUUCGGAAUUACUGGGCGUAAAGCGUGCGUAGUCGGUAUUGCGAGUCACGGGUGAAAUCCCAGGGCUUAACCCUGGAACUGCCUGUGAGACCUCAGUACUAGAGUGUGAGAGGGGAUAGUGGAAUACCCAGUGUAGCGGUGAAAUGCGUAGAGAUCCGGAAGAACACCGGUGGCGAAGGCGGCCUGCUGGGCAGUUGCUGACACUGAGGCGCGACAGCGUGGGGAGCAAACAGG
rnacentral:rRNA from 1 species